CUCAAGCUCCGUCAAGUUUUAAGGAGGCGCGUCGCUGCAUAGCAAUUUUUGACCUCACGGCUUGGUUUUUGCCCUGACAUGCACUGUCAACGGUGGGACCUUAUAUAGACAGGUCAGUGGGGUCAUCAGAGUCCAGGUUCAGGUCAGCGGGGUCAUCAGAGUCCAGGUUCAGGUCAGCGGGGUCAUCUACUCCUGGGCUUCCCCUUGUUUAAGCCGGGCCUUGUUGGAGCAGAGAGGUCUGAGAGAGGUUAUUAGCACGUUCAUCCUCCUCUUGCUCGAAGUCUACUACCACCCAGAGCAUGCCCACAGCCACAAUGGCUGCAGGUCCCAGGAAGCUGGUGUUGAGGUGAAUGCUGUGAGGAAGAGCCAUCGGUAUGAGGUAGAGCUGCCUGAACACAGUCUGGAGAUGAUCCUAUUGAGAUGAAGCCUAGAUGAGGAUGUAUAUCCACACCCGCCACCCCAGCCUGAAAUGGGACCACCGCUGUUGUGAGGAGAUUAGAAUAAAGCGAUAACAAUAUAUAUGACAUGAUAUCAUACCAUGUUCACAGGUGGCAAUUAGUACGAUUUUGAAAUCUCAAAACUUUAAGACAAACUAGUCGACUGAAUACUUUCUAGUAGGCCAUUUUAAUUCCACUAGCUUUACUUACUGCUAUUUACAGACACAGUUGAUUCCACGUGGUUGUUCUGAAUUCUAAAAAGAAAAAAAAGUAGACCUAUGUAUAAAAGAUUUUUCAAGACACCUUAAGGUUCCUUACCAUCACCAAAUUCCAAUCACUAAAACAAAUACACAGACAACUCACAAGGCUGUGAUGUUUAAUUUCCAAGGAAGAAAAUGUUUUUCAUAAUACACCUCUGUCUUUGUGCCAGAUUGGUCUUCUUUACAUUGUUGUGGGAUCUAGAAUUUUUUUGAUGUCACAGCAAAUAUAAGCUAAUUGAGUUACACAUUAAUUUAAUAUGUUAUUUUAACAUUUGAAAUUCAGUGAUGAGUAGUUGGACUGUUCAGUAGUUUAGUAGUUGAAACCAAUACCGUUAGAGGUUGAUGAGGAUGGCAAUUGUUAUGAUUCUGACCCUCAGAGGGGCCGGCAUCUUGAUUCUUCUCAUGCUGUUCCUCACUCUGGGUCUGCAACAUCACAAAAUGCAUUCAUAACUUUACUCAUCUCUGUUCUGAAUAAAACAUAAUGGAAGUGAAAACUAAGUCUCAAACAAGCUUGAGGGUCAAUUUACUCAACUCAAUAAACUUUGUAGCAGUUUUGGGUGUGUUGGCUACCUUGGCCAAAACUGAUUUCAGCUAUCUUCUCAUAGUGCCACGUUCUGACCUUAGUUCCUUUGUUUUGUCUUUGUUUCAGUAUGGUCAGGGCGUGAGUUGGGGUGGGCAGUCUAUGUUCUUUUUUCUAUAAUUUGGGAUUUCUGUGUUUGGCCUGGUAUGGUUCUCAAUCAGAGGCAGCUGUCAAUCGUUGUCCCUGAUUGAGGACCAUACUUAGGUAGCCUGGUUUCACCUUUGAGUUCUGGGUGAUUAUUUUCUGUUCUGUGUUUUGCUUCACCGUUCAGGACUGUUUGUUUUUGUCGUUUGAUUGUUUUUGUUCAAGUGUUCAGUAUUCGUAUUAAAUACAAUAUGGACUCUUA